rnacentral:rRNA from 1 species
CGGGGGAGUACUGCCAGACUUGGAACCGGGAGAGGUAAGAGGUACUACAGGGGUAGGAGUGAAAUCUUGUAAUCCCUGUGGGACCACCUGUGGCGAAGGCGUCUUACCAGAACGGGCUCGACGGUGAGGGACGAAAGCUGGGGGCACGAACCGGAUUAGAUACCCGGGUAGUCCCAGCCGUAAACGAUGCUCGCUAGGUGUCAGGCAUGGCGCGACCGUGUCUGGUGCCGCAGGGAAGCCGUGAAGCGAGCCACCUGGGAAGUACGGCCGCAAGGCUGAAACUUAAAGGAAUUGGCGGGGGAGCACAACAACGGGUGGAGCCCUGCGGUUUAAUUGGACUCAAACGCCGGACAACUCACCGGGGGCGACAGCAAUAUGUAGGCCAAGCUGAAGACUUUGCCUGAAUCGCUGAGAAGAGGUGCAUGG